CUCCGGCGGCGAUUUCAUCGUCUCCCCCUUGCCUCCGGCAGCCGGAUCGGCGCCGGAGGUGGGUGGGAGCGGUGGAAUCGUCGUGCGGUGUAUAUUCCUGUCCCUGCUUUCUUAGGAUUAGGUAGGCUAGGGUUAGGGUUAGUUCUUCCCACGUCGUUGGGUUUCACGGUGGCGGGAAGCUUUUGUGCUGGCGCUGCGCUCGCCGGAGGCGGCCGAUGCUGCUCCUGGUGGGUUUCGCGGCUGCGGAGGCUUCAAAUCUUGGGCCCCCUUCUCAACUCCUUGGCGGGGACGACGGGGUCCAGCGACGGCAUCGAUGGCGUGUCUGCUGGGAUCCUUGAAGCUCCUGUCGAGAGGUGGUCGGCUUCACGGGCGGCAGCUUCUACCGUCGGCGACGGGGACAACCGGGAGGAUCUUACAAGGACUUAGUUGUAAUUUGUUUUAUUUUCAGAGUUGUCUUUGUAAGUUGUGGGAUGUAAACUACCAGAAAUUUAUAUGAAAUAUAUUCCCGGUUUCUCAAAAAAAAAA